GAUGAACGCUGGCGGCGUGCCUAAUACAUGCAAGUCGAGCGAACAGACGAGGAGCUUGCUCCUCUGACGUUAGCGGCGGACGGGUGAGUAACACGUGGAUAACCUACCUAUAAGACUGGGAUAACUUCGGGAAACCGGAGCUAAUACCGGAUAAUAUAUUGAACCGCAUGGUUCAAUAGUGAAAGACGGUUUUGCUGUCACUUAUAGAUGGCUCCGCGCCGCAUUAGCUAGUUGGUAAGGUAACGGCUUACCAAGGCGACGAUGCGUAGCCGACCUGAGAGGGUGAUCGGCCACACUGGAACUGAGACACGGGCCAGACUCCUACGGGAGGCAGCAGUAGGGAAUCUUCCGCAAUGGGCGAAAGCCUGACGGAGCAACGCCGCGUGAGUGAUGAAGGUCUUCGGAUCGUAAAACUCUGUUAUUAGGGAAGAACAAAUGUGUAAGUAACUAUGCACGUCUUGACGGUACCUAAUCAGAAAGCCACGGCUAACUACGUG
rnacentral:rRNA from 1 species